rnacentral:rRNA from 1 species
AGUAGCGAACGCUGGCGGCAUGCUUAACACAUGCAAGUCGCACGGGCAGGGCAACCUGUCAGUGGCGGACGGGUGAGUAACGCGUAGGAAUCUAUCCACGGGUGGGGGAUAACGCCGGGAAACUGGUGCUAAUACCGCAUGAUACCUGAGGGUCAAAGGCGCAAGUCGCCUGUGGAGGAGCCUGCGUCCGAUUAGCUAGUUGGUGGGGUAACUGCCUACCAAGGCGACGAUCGGUAGCUGGUCUGAGAGGAUGAUCAGCCACAUUGGGACUGAGACACGGCCCAAACUCCUACGGGAGACAGCAGUGGGGAAUAUUGGACAAUGGGCGAAAGCCUGAUCCAGCAAUGCCGCGUGGGUGAAGAAGGUCUUCGGAUUGUAAAGCCCUUUCGGCGGGGACGAUGAUGACGGUACCCGCAGAAGAAGCUCCGGCUAACUUCGUGCCAGCAGCCGCGGUAAUACGAAGGGGGCUAGCGUUGCUCGGAAUGACUGGGCGUAAAGGGCGCGUAGGCGGCUUGUACAGUCAGACGUGAAAUUCCUGGGCUCAACCUGGGGGCUGCGUUUGAUACGUAUGGGCUUGAGUUCGGAAGAGGGUCGUGGAAUUCCUAGUGUAGAGGUGAAAUUCGUAGAUAUUGGGAAGAACACCGGUGGCGAAGGCGGCGACCUGGUCCAUUACUGACGCUGAGGCGCGAAAGCGUGGGGAGCAAACAGGAUUAGAUACCCUGGUAGUCCACGCCGUAAACGAUGUGUGCUGGAUGUUGGGUAACCUAGUUACUCAGUGUCGUAGCUAACGCGGUAAGCACACCGCCUGGGGAGUACGGCCGCAAGGUUGAA